rnacentral:rRNA from 1 species
UACGUAGGGUGCGAGCGUUAAUCGGAAUUACUGGGCGUAAAGCGUGCGCAGGCGGUGAUGUAAGACAGGUGUGAAAUCCCCGGGCUUAACCUGGGAACUGCAUUUGUGACUGCAUAGCUAGAGUCCGUCAGAGGGGGGUGGAAUUCCACGUGUAGCAGUGAAAUGCGUAGAGAUGUGGAGGAACACCGAUGGCGAAGGCAGCCCCCUGGGAUGAGACUGACGCUCAUGUACGAAAGCGUGGGGAGCAAACAGG